UGUGUAUACUGGAUUGCAGUUUAAACUGGAUUACUGUUUACACCAGAUUUCUUUUUACACUGGAUUACUGUUUAUACUGGAUUGCAGUUUAAACUGGAUUACUGUUUGCACCAGAUUACUGUUUACACCAUUUUCACAAAACUGGGGCAAAAUGGUGCUGAUGAAGACUUUGAGCACUUUUAUUGCACAGCACAACCAAGAAAGAGGAGAGUUUACUGUAAAAUAUCGUAAUCUCGCCUCUGAAGCCAGGUCUUGAAAACAAUAUUUUUAACGGCUACAAACCAUGUGUGACAUCCAUAGCUCAAACGGCAAGGCCUGACAGCUCCGCACUCUCAGCAUACAUCUUUCCCAUGAUGUUUCCUCCUGACAGGGUCUGCGGUUAUGCCGGGAUGCCCUGCCGGAGAUGGGGGCAGCCCAUCCCAGGCCUUCCCGCUGAGUGGGGAAAUGUCAUCCUUUGCGAAACUUCACAGGCACACGGGGAGACAAAACGUGAUCCGAAAGCUGGGCGGUUCAUAGACUCUGGGGACAGCAAAGAUGGCUCAGGUCUGCUCUCGUAUCAAAGCCAGGAUUAAAUCAGAGUACAAACUCCGGACGGUGUACAGGUUUCAGGGCUGGACACACCGCAAAGAUGCAACCUUGCUGCGAGUGAGAAUGCUUCACAUCCCCGCUGUGCGCUCUUUAGCCAGUGUGGGAAUUCAUUAGGCCGGCCCAGAUGUGCAGACCGUGAAUAAGUCAGGGACACCCAGAGAGAGAUGCCUCAGGAAGAUAUCACUGCUGGCAAUGAAUAAUUCUUGGCCUGCAAUGUUAAAAUCAGCCGAGUCUGUGUUUGUUUCACAUCGUUUAGACACAUGAGGUAUCGGGCACAAGGCCGCCAUAUUAUCCCGUGUUGAUGCUCAGCUUCAUGUGAGAUUUGUUCACAUUGGGGCUCGUCCUAGAAACUCAGCAUGGGGGGCCUGAAACAGGAGCUGCCAAGGUCCCUACACCCAAACAACACACAGGACCAUCACAGGGGAGACAGCAAGAAUCUCCAUUCAAGGUAUAAAGCAUCCAACUGGGAUGGAGGGCCGAGUAUGGCAUCGAACGGAGACGGGGAAAAAUGGAAGGGGCCAAUGCAACAGGUGAUCCAAGCAAAUCCUUGAUAAGCACCUUCCAAGGGCUGAUAGUACCUACUGCAUUUGUGACCUGCUAUAGAAAUAAACAAACGGAGUCACUCUCGAGUGUUCUGACAUCACUCUCAAACGAUUCUGAAUCAAAAAUGAACAAAACCGAACAGAAAAAACUGAGGCCUCUCUAACUAGGGAAGAAGCACAUUGACCAAAUAAAACAGUUAAAGAAACUCAGUAGAUGUAAACAACAGCCCUGGUCUUGCCAUGUUCAGGUAGAAAGCAAUAACAGUUUAAAAUGACCAAAAGUGCCUUGUUUAGCUAUUUAGAAAGGAUACCUUUACUUUAAUGUCUAAUGAAUAACAUUACAUUGCAAUUAUGGGCAACCUGAAGACGAAACAUGACGACCCUCAGCGGAAACAUGGGAAGAGAUAAACGGGAGUAUUAUUUAGUCACUGGGCCUCAUUCCCUGCAAUAAGCCAGGAUGAGCAGCUAAUGAGGUUCUUCACCAAGGGUUAGCUAGUGAAGCCUGAGUAUUAGUGACUCUUGUUGCCAGGGAAACUACCGCUGGUACCCUGAGAUAUUGCCUGGAACACUGAUGAAAAACAAUAAUAACCCUGGAGAUUCAUUAGAGACAGUAUCUAUGGAAACAGCCACAGUAAAAUCAUUGUUUUCUUUUUUUUUCCCCUCCGUUAUAUUGCAAUAAAAGUGGUCGUCAGAAGAUAGGGUAUGUUUUCAAGAAAUGUUAGAUGCAGAACUCAUGUUCGCCAGGUGCAACUUCAAGGUUAAGCACAGGAUUCUAAACAUAUCCAUAAAAGGAGAAGAUCGGUCUAGCCCAAUUAACACAGGAUCAAAUAAAGGCCAAAGGAUGUAAUGAAGAACUCGCUUACUGUUCUCAAAGAGAGUGUGUUCGAGAAAUCACCCAGCAGCACUGCAAAAAAAAACAUCGCCUUAACGAUUUAAGCAAAAGCUUAAUGAGGAAAAGUGUUUAAAAAAUAACAUUCACCACUUUUUAACGGUCCUCGUCAAUUUUGAGGCUGACGAAUCACAACAGGUUAAGCAUGUCGAUCGAACACAACUAACCAACAGCUGCCUGACUAAUAAUGUUUUGUGAGAGAACAAUUUUUGUCUUUUUACAAAAAUAACAUCCUUCUCUAAAUACACACCUCUAACAGACUCUUAGCUGCAUGACACGGAAACGUAAUACACAGAUCGCUUCCACCGAGCAGCACAGUAUACACAACUUACAGAACAUACACAACUUUCCUUAUAUGGUCGUUAGCAUUAGUCAAAAGAUAAGUACAAGUCACUGAGCCUCACCAGCGAGGAACAUUUUAAAUUAAGGGAGGGGAGGAACCAUUAGGGAAUCAAAAAAGUUACUGUGUGCACAAGGGUAAUGUUUGAGCUGGUGGGCACCAUUAAUCGCAGACUGCAGAUUCUGGCAGGGAGAACCUGUGCCAAUUGAGCAUUUCAGCAGAACCCUUCAGAACAUCAUUUUGAGAUUUACAUUGGAAUCCUAGCAUAUGCAUAAAGGGUACCUGGAAAAAAAGUUUUAGGAUCCAUAUUAAAAGGUUCCAUUUUAUGCAAGUACACAAUAAUUACAAUGCAUGCGCAUUGCAAAAAAGUUAAUGUGAAACUUGAAUGCUCAAAGGCAAUCUGUUGACAUUUAUUGUAAAACAGCAAGAAAAUGAAAUAUGUUCCCUGCAUAAACACUGCGAGGCCUUAAGUCUAUAUUUCUUUGAAGCGUCUUUGGCAGUCAUCAGAGCCGCGAAGCUUUUUGGUGAGGUCUUUACUAAAUCUGCGCACAGGCCUGAUGCAAUUUUACUCAUUUUUCUUGGCUGAUUUUCUCCUUCAGCCUAAAGCCGCUCUCCUGCUCCCCGAUUCAAAGUUCUGACUGGAAUCAUAUUUAGAAGCUGAGGACGGUUGUGAAAAAGUGACUGACAAGCAAUUUCUGAAAGGUUCUGUGUAAUCUAGAUUAUGGAAAUGAUCAUUUUCAUAAAGACUGUGUGCUUUUCUUCCUUGUUGUGGGGGUAGUUAUUAAUGUUUGUUAUUAAUACUGUAUAUAUUAAAACCGUUCAGGUAUGUUUGGAUACUGAAGUAUACUCACAUGCUGCUUAUGAAUGUUCUAUGAAUGAAUUAUGAUGGUGCAGUGAAUGCUCUACGAAUGCAUUGUAAAGGCAUUAUGAAAGUGCAGUUAAUGUAAAGGGUCACUUGAUAAUGAUAAUAAUAAUAACAAUGACAGCGGUAUGUCACAGUAUGUUUGCUUGCUCAUUACCUUUUACUCUGCCCCCUGAUCAUAAUGCUCCACAUGCCGCCCUACAGAGAGCCUUCGAAUUUGCCGUACUGAAUAAUCCCAUUGCACUGCCCCUACUAUUAAAGGGGAGGAGCGGCUACCAUUGUUGAAUCUCAACAUAAGCUCAUUUGAAUUAAAUUGCCUAUAAUAUUUCAGAUCCAGGCCUAUAUAUAUUAAGGAAAAGCAAUUUAUAUCUGCUACCUACCAUGAUCCAUGUUAUCAAAGAAAAUAAGGGUAGGUUGCCAUAUUAAAGGAGUUAUUUAGCUCAAGUGCUGUUUACAUAGGAAGAUGACAAAAGAAUGCGCGCGCGUGUGUGUGUGUGUGUGUGUGUGUGUGUGUGUGUGUGUGUGUGUGUGUGUGUGUGUGUGUGCGCACAUAUGUAUUACGAGUGUAACGGUACACGUAUCCGUAUCGAAAAUUUUCGGUAAGGAUCUUUCAGUUCGGUACGCAUAUAUAUAUUGAACGAAUGCAGCAAAUGUGGAACCUUUGCGUGUUUGUGUGUUUCCCCCGAGCGACAUUCGGAAAGGGGCGGAUGAAGCCGCGCCAUAUGUACCAUAUAAUGUGAAGCGGGACGUCGUUCAUGGGAAUACAAGUACAGCACAGUAUGGGAUACAACACAGAAAUGCAAAGACAGAUGGGGCACGUAUUCACAUCCCUGAUCAAAACCCGGUGAGCGUCUCUGAACGAAGGACCCCAACUGCAAUAACUGCAGAACAAGGGAGACACUCUGGAAAAUGUAGGUAAAGGAGAACCUGGAGAUAUGAAGACGGCGGCAUCGGGGGUCACUGCAAGCUGCCCAACACCGUAACGCACACAAACACCAUCUUUCACUAACGUGUGGCGGGUCAAGCACCAUUCCUGCGUGUCACGCUGCCUAAGAAGCAAGUGAGGCUCACGCUCUCAGACCACAAGGCUGUAGCAUGGAGGGGCUUCAUAGCAAGCUAGAUGGUUUGUUCUGGCAAGAUCCGAAUGAAAAGACGUUAAGCGUGCCAAUGUUUCAAUUAGGAGUUUUCAAUAAAUAUGCCUGAAGUUUAA